GACCUGAUCCAGCCAUGCCGCGUGUGUGAAGAAGGCCUUUUGGUUGUAAAGCACUUUAAGCAGUGAAGAAGACUCUUCGGUUAAUACCCGGGGACGAUGACAUUAGCUGCAGAAUAAGCACCGGCUAACUCUGUGCCAGCAGCCGCGGUAAUACAGAGGGUGCAAGCGUUAAUCGGAAUUACUGGGCGUAAAGCGAGCGUAGGUGGCUUGAUAAGUCAGAUGUGAAAUCCCCGGGCUUAACCUGGGAACUGCAUCUGAAACUGUUAGGCUAGAGUAGGUGAGAGGGAAGUAGAAUUUCAGGUGUAGCGGUGAAAUGCGUAGAGAUCUGAAGGAAUACCGAUGGCGAAGGCAGCUUCCUGGCAUCAUACUGACACUGAGGCUCGAAAGCGUGGGUAGCAAACAGGAUUAGAUACCCUGGUAGUCCACGCCGUAAACGAUGUCUACUAGUCGUUGGGUCCCUUGAGGACUUAGUGACGCAGCUAACGCAAUAAGUAGACCGCCUGGGGAGUACGGCCGCAAGGUUAAAACUCAAA
rnacentral:rRNA from 1 species